UACAGAGGGGGGCAAGCGUUGUUCGGAAUUACUGGGCGUAAAGGGCUGGUAGGCGGCCAACUAAGUCGGAUGUGAAAUCCCCAGGCUUAACCUGGGGACGGCAUCCGAUACUGGAGGGCUUGAAUUCGGGAGAGGGAUGCAGAAUUCCAGGUGUAGCGGUGAAAUGCGUAGAUAUCUGGAGGAAUACCGGUGGCGAAGGCGGCAUCCUGGACCGAGAUUGACGCUGAGGAGCGAAAGCUAGGGGAGCAAACGGG
rnacentral:rRNA from 1 species